ACCUACGGGGGGCAGCAGUAGGGAAUCUUCCACAAUGGGCGAAAGCCUGAUGGAGCAACGCCGCGUGGGUGAAGAAGGUCUUCGGAUCGUAAGACCCUGUUGUUAGAGAAGAAAGUGCGUGAGAGUAACUGUUCACGUUUCGACGGUAUCUAACCAGAAAGCCACGGCUAACUACGUGCCAGCAGCCGCGGUAAUACGUAGGUGGCAGGCGUUAUCCGGAUUUAUUGGGCGUAGAGGGAACGCAGGCGGUCUUUUAAGUCUGAUGUGAAAGCCGUCGGCUUAACCGGAGGAGUGCAUUGGAAACG
rnacentral:rRNA from 1 species